rnacentral:piRNA from 1 species
GAAAGGAUCAGCUGGGUAUUGAAUGGA